UAUAGGUCUGCGUCGUGAAGUGCAGUUACAUUUACAAACCACUUCUCGCACAGACCUAUUG
rnacentral:pre_miRNA from 1 species